AUGAAAACUACAUAUGGGAAACUGCAGCAGAAGAGCAGCAGGAAGCGACACCGUAAUCAGAUAGAUGAGAAUGAUACAAACAUGCAGCAAGACACUUCAAUAUUUAGAAAGAGAAGUUGCUUCUUUCAGCUGCCAUAUUGGGAAACACUUCUAUUGCGUCAUAAUCUGGAUCCUAUGCACAUAGAGAAGAAUGUGUUUGAGAAUAUUCUCCAUCCCCUUAUGAAUGUUAGCAAAAGAUCAAAGGAUAAUCUAAAUGCACGUCUUGACCUACAAGAAUUGAACAUGGGUGGACCAAGCAUUAAUUCUCCGUGCUUCAUUUAG
rnacentral:rRNA from 1 species